GGUCCCUGGACUUUGGGACUCAUUCUACUCGACUUGAUCCCCACUCUCCACGCUGAUCACAUACACAUGUUCACACCUGGCAGAAGAGGAAGAGGAGGCAUGAAGGAAUGGCCUCUUCAGAAUAGAGAAAAGCCUUCCCCAUGAGAACAUGCCUAAGACAGACUGCUGAAGAAAGUAGCAAGUGGAACAGUGCUCAAUCAGCCUGGUCAUCCCAGCCAAGCCUUCAGACAUGUAAGCGCCCUCCUCCGAUCUGCAUAGCUGCCUGGCGCAAACACUGUUGACCACUCUUGACUGAGCCCCACCGAGAUCAGCUCAGAACAGUAGAACUGACCAGAUGACUCUAGCCUCAUGAAUAAAUUUGAGCGUUUAUUUUAUUUGCCUCUGA